rnacentral:lncRNA from 1 species
AUGUUACACAGGCUGUCUCAUUUAAUUCCCAUGACAACCCUAAGUGAUGCUUUUCCUGGCCCCUCUCCACAGAUGAGGAACCAUCCUGGGCAGCACUGCGUGAUGUACUUCAGUGUGAGUCUUCCUAUCACCCGUGAGUUUGAGGUCCAUAGAAGCCGGAAGCACUUUGUUCCAGAAUACAUUCGUCAACUCCAGAGAGACCACACCCUUGGGGCCGGAUGGAGAAGAUGGGACCGUGUUCUCUUGGAGAGCCCGGCUAGUAGGCCGAUUGGCUAGAGUUGAUUCCCAUGAGCAUUGCUGAAGUUGGGACAAACUCAAUUUUAAGUUAAGUGGAAAUAUUUUUAUUUGAGUUAAUGUACAUUGAAUCUGGUAAACACACAGAGUAUAUUACUACGCACUCUGGAAAUGUGCAGUCCGAUCAGCAAACAGAUUAGUUUUAAGUGAAAAGACACUGGCAGGCGCUUAAAUUCAUUGACUUGUUGAGAACGUCUAGAUUUGGAUACAAAUGCACUGGAACGCUACAUCAGUUUGGUGUCUCAGCCCAUCCGCACGGAGAAGCUAUUGAUUUUAGUUGAUAUGCAUUGAUUCCCAGAAAACAGGACGGCUUUUGAAAAUGAACUUCCAGUAAUUUCAGGGAGAAGCUGGCGCGUUUGUCUCCACGCGAGGCUGACUUGUUUUGUUAAACGUGUCUCUACGCCUCGAAGGAACAGAGCAGCAGACAAAUAUCUUCGUAUGAAUUAAAAUGCAUUGAUUCUUGGAGGGAAAUGAUGGUCUC